AAUGCAGUGCGAAAACUUCCACAUCAGGGAAAGAGACAGAAUUGCAUGAAGAAUCAUUGGUGACUGAGAUUGAAUGCAGUGCGAAAACGUCCAUGUCAGGGAAAGAGACAGAAUUAUGUGAAGAGUCAUCAAUGGCAAUGAUUGAAUGUGGUUCGAAACACUUCCACAUCAGAUAAGGAGAAAUGUCAGCAUGAAGUACACAGUGCUGUUUUUUCCAGUUUGGAUUUGUGCGAUGAUUGAUUGUAGUGGUUCCAUGUCAAGUAGAAAGUGGCUGACUUCAACUUGCAAAUACACCAACUCAAGGACAGUUAUUAUAAAAACAUGGAGCAGACUGAAGUGAAUGCAGUCAUAAAACAUUUUAAAGGGACACCUCACCACAAAAGCACAGUGUGAUCAAUGCAAGAAAGCAGAAGACCAUGUUCUUAAAGAAAGAAGAAAAAUUAAAUGACUUUGUGAGGAACAGAGGUUUGCAGAUAAAUAAAAGAAAUGUUGGAGUGCAUUUCAACAAAGAAAAGCAAAAACUGCUUUUAAACGGUUAGUUCAUCCAAAAAAUUAAAUUAGCCAAUGGUUUAUUCACCCUUAUGCAAUCCUAGCUGUAUAUGACAUUCUUCGUUCAGACGAACACAUUAAGAGUUAUUUAAAAUUUUCUCUGAGCACUUAAAUACUAUUAUGGAUGUGAAGUGUGGGCCUUGUUGGUACCGUUCCAAUACAUGUCAUGUCUUUUGAAGCGGAUCGAUAGGUUUGUAACAAAUAUUUAUUUUUUAUGAAUUAUGAACUCCAGUUGCUACUUGCGUGUUGGCGACAGAGUCACAUGAACCUAAACAAAUCAAAGAACAAAUUAAAGAUGUCCCAAACUCAGCCAACUUGACUUUUCGCAAACAAGCAUACAGACAUUAGCUGUGUUUCCAUCCAAAAAUGCGGAUGAACUUUAUGCGCAAAACUGGAUUAAUGCGUUAAAGACGUGCAAAUAAAGCAGCGUUUCCAUCCAACGAGUCAAAGCAAACAAAAUCGUCACUUCCUGAUUAACUGGCGCCAAAUAUCAACAGUAAAAACUGAAUUUGCUGUGGUAAGAGAAGCUGCGUCAAUCUUUUCUUCAUCUAAUAAAUGACACGGAGCACAGACGCUCUUAUUUCUUGAGGUCAUUAAUAAUAUAAUAACACUAAUACUUAAACGGUUAGGUGUUUUAGAAUGACCAAAACAACAGUUCAGAUGGUUUACAGUGUGCUGCUGGUUUCUCCAUUCACACACAUUUUCAUCAUCACAUGAUCUCUUAUAACAAAAUCACAUGACCUUUUUUAAUGCGCACACUGGAAUUUGUGCGGUAAAAGUGUUUCCAUCGUAGUUUAUGUGCAUCUUUUCUUAUCGAAUAAAAAG